rnacentral:rRNA from 1 species
AUUGAACGCUGGCGGCAGGCCUAACACAUGCAAGUCGAACGAGUGGCGGACGGGUGAGUAAUGUCUGGGAAACUGCCUGAUGGAGCGGGAUAACUACUGGAAAUGGUAGCUAAUACCGCAUACCCUCAGAUGUGCCCGGAUGGGAUUAGCUUGGUGGUGGGGUAACGGCUCACCAAGGCGACGAUCCCUAGCUGGUCUGAGAGGAUGACCGGCCACACUGGACCUGAGCCACGAUCCAGACUCCUACGGGAGGCAGCAGUGGGGAAUAUUGGGCAAUGGGGCAGAGCCUGAUCCAGCCAUGCCGCGUGUGUGAAGAAGGGCUUCGGAUUGUAAAGCACUUUAAGUUGUGAGGCGUUACCAACAGAAUAAGCACCGGCUAACUUCGUGCCAGCCGCCGCGGUAAUUC